rnacentral:tRNA from 1 species
GCUGGGGUACCAAAGUGGUUAAUGGGCUGGCCUUGAGAGCCAGUUGGGCUUCUGCCCUGCCUGGGUUCGAAUCCCAGCCCCAGCG